CCAAUAGCGUAUAUUAAAGUUGUUGCAGUUAAAAAGCUCGUAGUUGAAUUUUAGGCCUGGCCGGGCGGUCCGUCUUUGGCGAGUACUGUCUUGUUGUCGGGUCUUCCUUCUGGUGAACCAGUAUGUCCUUUAUUGGGUGUGUUGGGGAGCCAGGACCAUUACCUUGAAAAAAUUAGAGUGUUUAAAGCGGGCUAUUGCUUGAAUAGAUUAGCAUGGAAUAAUAGAAUAGGACGUUGUGGUUCUAUUUUGUUGGUUUCUAGGACCACCGUAAUGAUUAAUAGGGAUAGUUGGGGGCAUUAGUAUUCAAUUGUCAGAGGUGAAAUUCUUGGAUUUAUUGAAGACUAACUAUUGCGAAAGCAUUUGCCAAGGAUGUUUUCAUUAAUCAAGAACGAAAGUUAGGGGAUCGAAGACGAUCAGAUACCGUCGUAGUCUUAACCAUAAACUAUGCCGACUAGGAAUCGGGCGACGUUAUUUUAAUGACUCGCUCGGCGCCUUAUG
rnacentral:ncRNA from 2 species